UGCGCCGCGGGAGCCGGGCGGACGCCAAUGAUGGCGGCCUUGGGGCCCAGGAGUAAGGUCCUCUUCCCCCAGCUCUGCCGCGCUUUCGCUGGCCACCGCCGCCAGCUCGCCCCAGAGCGCAGGGAUGCGGCGCCCAGCCGGGUCUCAAGAUUCUGCCCUCCAAAAAACUCUUGCCAUGAUUGGAUAGGACCCCCAGAUAAAUACUCAAACCUUCGACCUGUUCAGUUUUACAUCCCUGAAGAUGAAUCACCAUUGGAACAAAAGCUUCGAGAACUAAGACAAGAAACACAAGAGUGGAAUCAGCAAUUCUGGGCAAACCAGAAUGUGACUUUUAGUAAGGAAAAAGAAGAAUUUAUUCACUCAAGACUGAAAGCGAAAGGCCUGGGGUUAAGAACUGAAUCAGGUCAAAAGGCAACACUGAAUGCAGAGGAAAUGGCUGACUUUUACAAGGAAUUUUUAAGUAAGAAUUUUCAAAAGCAUAUGUAUUAUAACAGGUAAGUGUUUACUUUUUUCCUAAAAAUUAAAACGUCACAUCCAGAUUGGGUAGGAUUAUUUUCUUAGCUGAAUUUAGUGGCGUUCGUGUUUAUAUCAGAGGCAGAAAUUGUAUGACUUUGUCAUCUGAGUUCUUUGCUCUUUUAAAUAAGGUUGAUGGUUUAAUAUUAUUUGCAUGGUAAUCCAGUAGCAGUUAGCACCCCUAGUGCUUGGACAGUGGUCUCUGAACAACACCUCGCGCUAAAAUGAAUCUAGGCUCCUUGGGGAAAUGUCUGGCUCCAGGUCUGAGUCUGUGACAUCUUAAGCCUGAAAACUAGGAGGUGAACAAGGAUUCCUGAGGUCGUGUCAAAACAACAUGCGACCAACUCAAAGGAGCUCACACAGCCAGCAAUGGAAUAAUUGGAGCCUCAAAAAGAAAAAUGACUGCCGUGGACUUAAAUACAUCAAGGAUACAAACAUCCUUGUGAUUGAAAUGAUGCUGACAAACGCUCUUGGGCCCCCUCUGAAUAUUGCUAGGGUAAACCAGUUGAAACCAGUUGCCAUCAAGUUGAUGCCAACUCUUGGCGGCCCCAGGUGUGUCAGAUUAGAACGGCGCUCCAUAGGGUUUUCAGUGGCCGGUAUUUCAGAAGUCGAUCACCAGGCGUUUCUACCAAGGCACGUCCAACCUUUGGUUACCUACCGUGUGUUAGCCAUUUGCACCACCCAGGGACCCCAUCGCUGGGGUAUUCUUUUAUUCUGAAAGUUGAUAAACCAAAGAAAGAGUCAGAAGAAUCCGCCCCUCUCCUGCCUUUCCUGUGCCGACUGGUUUUGAAGGUAAUCAACGAGGGAGCAUUUAUCCUUAUGGAAAAGUGGCGGCUGACGCAGAAACAGUGAUGCGGUUAGAAAGUCACCUUUUUUCUAGUGAAACAGUGGAUCUAGGCAGCAAUCAUCCAAACCAAAAAAACCCUAAACCUAUUGCUGUCAAAUUUAUUCCAACUCAUAGUCAAUUCCAACUCACAGCGACCCUACAGGGCAGAGUAGAACUGCCCCAUAGCGUUUCCAAGGAGCUGCCAGCCUUUUGGUUAGCAGCCAUGCUCUUAACCACUGAGCCACCAAGGUUCCAGCAGUCGUCCGUGGCUACUAAAACCAUGAGGCAGAAAGGCUGAUAGGGAACCUUGUAAUGGGUGGCCCGGCUUAUCACACCUGAGCCCCACCAUCAACCUUCUCACCUAACAAGUGAGCGGCUGUCAUGGUGGUCUUGGUGUGAUCCAGGCGUGUAUGGCGCCACCUAGGGGGAGUCCUUAAAACAAUUUAAUUGAAUUUGAGUCCAGUCAGGCCUCUCAUCUAAGUACCAGUUUAUAGGAAACAGGUAGGGGUGUGGAGGUGUUGCAUACAGAACUAUGUUCAAAAUGAUAAAAAAAAAUUUGUUGUCAGUCAGAGAAGAUGAAACAAUGACUAUAUGUUAGGUUGUAUUAAUAAAUCAUUGUUUGUUUUAUUGGACACAGUGAUGAUAUUGUGGUUAUUUCUUUAAAUGUUUUAACUGGUUACAGAUACUUACUGAUGUGUCUGUACUGGUGAGAUGACCGGGUGUGAUGUUUGAGAUUUGCUUUAAAACUAACAGCGAUUUGGCAACGACCACAGGCAGUGGUUACACAGCCUGGUUAAUGUAAUGGACAUCACUGAAUUGUACACCUGAGAAAUGUCAAAUUGGCAAAAUUGAAUUAUAUGUUUACUUACAGCAACCAAAAAGUAACUACAAAGUUUUGGAUCAGGCUGGCAAAACCAGCUUUAGAGAACAACAGUGAUUUUGAAGCUGGGUUAACUCAACAUUAUGACUCUAUCUUUGUGCAUAUUAGAAAUUUCUAGAAGAAAGCUUUAAAAAAUAAAACUAUUUGCUUUUUAAAUUUCUUAGUUGUCUGGCAUAAAGGUUAGCCCUGAAACAUCUGGAUUCUGUUUCCAGUGCUGUCAUUUAUUACCGUGAACUAGUCGAGAUGUUCAGUCAGGCAGGUAUUGGUUAUAUUUCUCUGGGCCUUUGAUUUCUCAAGUGGACGCCUAGCAUGUUUGCACCAGGCACGACCUCUGAUAAGCGUGGUGUUUCCUGAGCCUCGUUCAGGAUGAGGAGAACCAGCCUUACCCAGGAAAUGGCGGGGUCCAGAGCUCCCCUGUCUGUGCCCUCCCCCUGCUCUCUGUUCCCUAUUGAAACAGAAAAAGCUGCGUCCUUCCCCCACAACCCCACACUUUAACACGAGCCUACCUGUCUGUCCUGGUAGAGGGAAGUCUGGCUUUUCUGUCUUAACCUAAGAACUUUUAUCCUGGUGGGAGAACAGUUUUCAUUCUGGGAACCUUACUUACCUAGGGCACUACGUCUCAUUCAUAGCACCAGGUAAGUGGAUGGCAGGUAAGGGUUGUCAUCGUGUGGAGAGGGUUUCCCACCCGGCACACCAAGACUUCAGGAGACAAGCUGCCGUCUCCUCUGAGCCCUUGUUUACUCUCUUUCGUUUAUGCUGAGUCUUGUCUAGGAUAGAAGCUCCAUGUUCGGUUGUGAGCUCAUUGGGCUGAGACGCACCGGUACUUGUUGCCUGUCGGGCCUCCAAGGGCUGAGCACCCAGAGUCUGGAAUGUGGACGUUCAGAGCACCUGGCACUCUGUUGGUCAUGCCAUCGUCACUCAACCAUUGUGUACCCAAGAAUGGAUGCUGCUUGACUCAGGGGCCCAAGGCUUCCUGGGGUCCUUUAGAGUCUUUAU